CAUAAACGAUACACCACAGACAGGCCAUUUCUACUUAUCUUGGCAUAGCGACGUUGCCGAGUUGAACUACCACAAGAGUCCCACUCUCGGAAGUUGUCCGGUGUCUUGGUGUCUUAAGUACGGCAACAUCGUGUGCGGUAUUUCUUUCGUUCAGUGCCACGACCACUCAGACACGCGACAUUUGCGAUGAAAGUAGUAGGUGUCUUUUACCUACAGGCGAGAGGAAAAUAAAAAUGAGAAAGAAGGAGGGUUCCAACGGGGGGGAGCAGGAGGAGGAGAAGGAGGAGGGAAACGAUUUUCAGGAGAGCGGAUCGUAUGAGCAACAAAACGGUAGUGAAUACGAACCUCGACCGUAAAGUUUGCCUAUAUGCAAGUGUGUGUGUGUGUGUACGUGCGCAAAAGUCCGAGGAGAUUAUCGUGCGCGCUGGUGCGCCAAAAAGCGAUGAUCUGAACGAGGGAGGAGGGAUGAUCUCGUAUCGUCUUGCUACGACUACCGAAGAGAAUAAAUAAUCUUUCCAAGAUGAAAUGGUCAUCGACCGGUGAUCAAAGUGUUUCUCUCCAAUGAUAUCCUAUACACUGAAGAAGGUCUUCAUAAUAUCGAGCACUUGUUCAUUCAUUAUGUAUGAACCCCUAAAAAACAGUGGCUGGCAGAAAUGAAUUGAUCAUUUUAACGAAUAGAAAUGAAAUGUAAUUCUUAUCUACGUUAGACGUCAACUAGAUGAUAGUAGAUGCUAAAUGGUGAUCAAGAAGUAGUAGCUAAAGAAUAAUGUUUCGCAAUUUUCCAUUUCGCUUAUCAGAUAUAGGAAUAUAUACAGUAUAGUUUCAGUAAUAUAGUAUAUACUACAAUA
rnacentral:lncRNA from 1 species